CUUCCGUAGGGUGAACCUGCGGAAGGAUCAUUGUCGA
rnacentral:rRNA from 1 species